CAAAAACAGAUUAAUAAUAACUUUAUAUACCAUUCAGACACUUCCAACAGCUUUAUUUUCAGACUUAAUACCUUUGAAACAUAGACCUAUACUCGAGUGAGAAAUACCUGCACAGUCAAAUGUUCACCAAGCAUCAUUUGAUUCAAAAAAGCCUACAUAUCUCUACUAGAGCUAGCAAACCGUCACACAAGUGCUGAGAAGUUCUUCAUCCUCUCCAAUACAACUCGCUUUUAAACAAAAAGCCAUAACCAAGUAAAAAUGAGAUCAGCUGCAGAACAAAUUAAUUCCAGUGUUAAGAUCAAUAUCAGAUACACGUUCAACAAACAAAGACAAACAAAUGGACUUUCAGGAGACAAUGAGCAGUAAUGAUUGAAUUAGCAGCAUGGUAGGAACCAAACUAACCAAACCACAAAUGACAACAGAAAUUGCAAGUGGCCCUUAUGUUACUCAGGAUUGUGUUCCUGGUCACGUCUUCUACUUCAGGACUUAACUUCAGCCCUGUUUUACAGAUUGUAUAAUCACACAUCUAUAGACUGUAUAAUGUAGAAUAUCUGUAGGUUUAGUCUUUAGGACAGGUAAUACCAGUCUUCUAAUCUAUGGAGUGAUAUUUGUGACAACAGAAAUUCAAUUUGUGAAUACAUAUUCAGUUUCUGCUGGUUCUAAUAUCACUCCAUAGUCUUCGGGUUUAGGGGUUUUGGUCAGGGGAAGUCUACUGCUUGAGAAGGGUUUAGUCAGGCGUUGGGCUACUUCCCCUAGACUAGAAUCCCUUUAGACAGGCAUUACAGUGAGUGAACAUCUGGGGUGUGUCCAGUGAGGGUGGAACGCUCAACAACGUUGCAGAUAAAAAUAUAAAUGAAUGGAUCUGACACAAUUCCCAAUUCUAUCAUGACAGGUAAUCAUAUCUGUUCUACACAAUAUAUUUCUAUCUGAACAGUUGUACCCUCUAGCAGUUCCCAUGGUUUUCAUCUCCUUCACCAACAUAAACUAAGGGCCAACUGCAGUUUGGUGUGUGUGGGGUAAAAGAACAACAACGCCACAAAAACCUUCAAAGAAUUCCAAUCCAAAACACAGGAGCUGUUGGUAAAAAAAUCAUUAGACCACAGUCACGUGUCACUAUUACAACAAUAUAGACUACUCUUCUAGCUUUACUCUCAAGCCUGUCCACUGAGUUUGCAUAUGUAUAAGGGUCACUUUUUCACGACGGUCAACACUACCUACCUACUAUACACCUUAGUGUGUGUGUGUGUGUGUAAGACAUAGUGAGGAUGUUUUAGCGUACAUACACUAUAUACUAGGGCUGUGUCUGAUGGCACCCUAUUCCCUAUUUAGUGCACUGCUUUUGAUAAUGC
rnacentral:lncRNA from 1 species